rnacentral:rRNA from 1 species
CCCUUAGAUGUUCUGGGCUGCACGCGUGCUACACUGAUAUUGCCAAUAUGUCAUUCUUAUCCGAAAUGGAUUGGGUAAUCAAGUAAUGAAAUUUCAUGCUUGGAAUCGGUAAUUGCAAUUUUAUCGUGAACGAGGAAUUCCUAGUAAGCACUAGUCAUCAGCUAAUGUUGAUUAUGUCCCUGCCCUUUGUACACACCGCCCGUCGCUACUACUGAUUGGGUGUUCAAGUGAGAUGCUUAGACCCUUGUUACAUGGUUCAUUAUUGUGCUCCGAAAGGAAAAAGUUUCAAGCUUGAGUGUCUAGAGGAAGUAAAAGUCGUAACA